UACGGAGGGAGCUAGCGUUGUUCGGAAUUACUGGGCGUAAAGCGCGCGUAGGCGGCUUUGUAAGUUAGAGGUGAAAGCCCGGGGCUCAACCCCGGAACUGCCUUUAAGACUGCAUCGCUUGAAUCCGGGAGAGGUGAGUGGAAUUCCGAGUGUAGCGGUGAAAUGCGUAGAUAUCAGGAGGAACACCGGCGGUGUAGACGGCUUGCUAGACCACCCCUGACGCUGAGGCACGAAAGCGUGGGUAGCAAACAGG
rnacentral:rRNA from 1 species